UACGGGGGGGGCGAGCGUUGUUCGGAAUUACUGGGCGUAAAGGGCGCGUAGGCGGUCUGCUAAGUUGGAUGUGAAAACUCUGGGCUUAACCCAGAGCCUGCAUUCAAUACUGACAGGCUAGAGUUCUGGAGGGGAUAGCGGAAUUCCUGGUGUAGCGGUGAAAUGCGUAGAGAUCGGGAGGAACACCCGUGGCGAAGGCGGCCAUCUGGACCAGCACUGACGCUGAGGCACGAAAGCGUGGGGAGCAAACAGG
rnacentral:rRNA from 1 species